rfam:Leptospira interrogans serovar Lai str. 56601 chromosome I, complete sequence.
CCUGAAUAUAACUUUGAUGCCGGUAGGCGUUGAGCAC